CUCAUGCUUAUUUGGUUUCGGGUGAUUCCCAAAUCUAUUUUCCCUGAUUAAUUUUGUGCUUGGGCUCAUGCUUAUUUGGUUUCGGGUGAUUCCCAUUCGGUUUCCCCUGAUUAAUUGUGUGCUAGGGCUCAUGUUUAUUUGGUUUCGGGUGAUUCCCAUUCUGUUUCCCCUGAUCUAUUUUGUGCUUGGGUGAUUCCCAUUCUGUUUCCCCUGAUCUAUUUUGUGCUUGGGUGAUUCCCAAUUCUUGGUGGCUGCAUGCAAGAGCACUAGGGUUUGUUGGUUGGCAAUUGGAUCUGAAAUGAUAUAAACAUGCUCUGAUUUUGCCACUAUGAUGGUUAAAUGUGUUGUCUGUGCUUUGUGUGUUCGUGUGCUUACGUUGUGAUGUGUAGUUGGCUGCCAUCUUAAUUGUUGGGUGUGUAGUUGGCUGCCAUCUUAAUUGUUGUGAUGUGUAGUUGGCUGCCAUCUUAGUUGUUGGGUGUGUAGUUGGCUGCCAUCUUAAUUGUUGUGAUGUGUAGUUGGCUGCCAUCUUAAUUGUUGGGUGUGUAGUUGGCUGCCAUCUUAAUUGUUGGGUGUGUAGUUGGCUGCCACAUUCAUUAAUGCACUAUAUCUUCAUGUAGGCCUUUACAAAAAAUAAGCCUAUCUAUGUGCCCUACUACAGAUUCUAAACUGCACUAUAUCUUCAUGUAGGCCUUUACAAAAAACUGCACAAAAAACAUUUUCCUACUGCAGAUGCUAAACUGCACUAUACCUUCAGUUUGGCCUUUACAAAAACUGCACAAAAACUGCACAAAAACCCUUCUAGAUGAUAGCUUUAAUCAAGCAACAUCAUGGCAUUGAAAAGUUCUUCAAUGCCAUCCAUAUUUGCUUCAUUAAUGCCUAAUCUAUCCAUUAGCUCUUCUAGUCCUUCCUCUGCACCUUGAUCUUUCAAAUACUUCAUGCUUUGUGUGACAAGUUCAUGGGGGACUUCCAAACUUGUUGGAAGCAAAUCAUGUCUAAUCAAUGCCCCUUUCUUCAUAUGUGGCAGCUUAUAACAGUUAUUGCCCUUCACCUUCAUGAUCUCCAACAUGCAACCUUCCCAAAUGCGCGAAACAGUUCGCCGGCAGACGUGGAACUUCUCCUCCAUAGCUUUCAUCUUCCCUCUUGGUGGCUUUCCAUUUUUGCUUUCAAGAAGAAGGAAUUGAAGCAUUGAAGACCUCUCCUCUGUUGUUAAAUCCUUUCUUCUCAUCUUUUUUUUUGGCACUUGUUCUGCUCGCUUGAACAUGAAAAAAUGGUGAGCAAACAAAUGCUCUGUAUAUAUAGCUGAUGUUGGACGCAUAUUGUAACAAUUUCAAAUUUAUGGAAUGAAAUGAUUAAGUUU